rnacentral:tRNA from 1 species
GCCCUGGUGGUGGAAUGGUAGACACGCAGGUUUUAGGUACCUGUGCUUUACGGCGUGAGAGUUCGAGUCUCUCCCAGGGCACCA